AGCGAGGACCAUCUCGCAAGGCUAAAUACUACCUAGUGACCGAUAGUGAACCAGUACCGUGAGGGAAAGGUGAAAAGCACCCCGGAAGGGGAGUGAAAUAGUUCCUGAAACCAUGUGCCUACAAGCUGUCGGAGCCCAUUAAUGGGUGACGGCGUGCCUCUUGCAGAAUGAACCGGCGAGUUACGAUUGCAUGCAAGGUUAAGGUGGAAAAACCGGAGCCGCAGCGAAAGCGAGUCUGAAAUGGGCGUACGAAGUAUGUAGUUGUAGACCCGAAACCAGGUGACCUACCCAUGUCCAGGUUGAAGGUGCGGUAAAGCGCACUGGAGGACCGAACCCGUGUCAGUUGAAAAUGGCUGGGAUGAGGUGUGGGUAGCGGUGAAAUUCCAAACGAACUUGGAGAUAGCUGGUUCUCUCCGAAAUCUCUUUAGGGGGAGCCUUGGGAUCAAGAAUCGUGGAGGUAGAGCUACUGUUUGGACAAGGGGCCCGUCAUGG
rnacentral:rRNA from 1 species